AUCUUCUCAUCCUCAGUAGCAUAUUCCUUCCAUUUUCUAUCAAAUGGGUUGAUUGAAGGAUUAGCUGUUUUGGCCAUAACAGAUGGGAUGUACAUCGAGUCCCCCACAAUAGGCGCACCAAUGGCGGCAAACUGUGCUCUGAUCUGUAUCAAACACAAUCAAUCAUCAAACAAUAUAUUAUUGUCUAACUCAGUAUGUGGAGAAAGAUCAAAGUAAUAUUGCGACAAGGAUGCUCUAUCAUGCUCCUAGGAUACAUCUUUUUGUUUCCUUUGAUGACUCAGGCAUUUGAAAACUUCUAUUUUUGUAGAACCUAUGCUUCAUAUGCAUCCUUGAAAAGGUCCCACACGUUUAAUACUCAUUAUCAUGUGAGCACACUUCGAUAAGUGAUAUAAUAAAUCUCACACUAACCUCCACAAAAGCUGUUUUACCUCUGAUAACUAAAGGCUAGGACCCAGUCUAAUACAUUUAACUAUAAGAUUAACAUUUGUCAUAGCCUUGAUCUAUAUAUCAAUACCAUAAGUAAAUCAAAGUACC
rnacentral:lncRNA from 1 species